rnacentral:siRNA from 1 species
GGAUCAAAGUCAGGUCACAAGGUU